AAAAGCACCUUCCCAUCCUGGCAGAGUCUAUAUUAGAGAGCGGCAAUGGCUCUAUAUAAACAGGGCAGCCAAAGGGAGGAGGACCACAAGGCUCAGGGACUGAAAAGCAGGGUAAGCGGCCGCAGCCAUGAUGGAUCGACCCGAGUCGCCAACGCAGUCAGCUGAGACCUUCGCUGAGACUGUUGAGUGGGACACCUACAUAUGGUCACUGGACGUGGCCUGGGCUCCCUCAAAACAUGGUAGCCAGGGUGGAAAGCUCUACAACCAACGUGGGGCUGGAACUCAGGACUCAGAGAUCAAGAGUGGCAUGCUGUAUCAACUGAGCCAGCCAGGCACCCCCUAAUAACUUCCUUGUAUUUCAUUAAUAUAUGUUUGUCCUAUCAGCAAGGAUUUAAAGUGGCUGAAACCUAUUAUACUCCCUAGCUUUGUCCUAGGUACAGGAAACAAAGAACAAGAUACAUUCUUUGCCAUCAUGGAUCAUAUUUCUUGGGGGCACUGAUUUCUAGGGAAAUAAACUCUUGCUCUCACCCACUG